UGGGGAAUAUUGCACAAUGGGGGAAACCCUGAUGCAGCGACGCCGCGUGAGCGAAGAAGGUUUUCGAAUCGUAAAGCUCUGUCCUAUGGGAAGAUAAUGACGGUACCAUAGGAGGAAGCCCCGGCUAACUACGUGCCAGCAGCCGCGGUAAUACGUAGGGGGCAAGCGUUGUCCGGAAUCACUUGGCGUAAAGGGUUCGCAGGCGGAAAUGCAAGUCAGUUGUGAAAGGCAGAGGCUCAACCUCUGUAAGCAAUUGAAACUGUAUUUCUUGAGAUGUGGAGAGGCAAGUGGAAUUCCUAGUGUAGCGGUGAAAUGCGUAGAUAUUAGGAAGAAUACCGGUGGCGAAGGCGACUUGCUGGACACAAACUGACGCUGAGGAACGAAAGCGUGGGUAGCAAACAGG
rnacentral:rRNA from 1 species